rnacentral:ncRNA from 14 species
GUUUCUGACACCAGCAGUGAAGUAUGUGUGCGACAAGAAGCGGAUGUUAGUAAUGUGGUGAGAUUCCACCAGGUAUUUUCUCUAUCUGACACUACCUACACAUGCAAAGCAGUAAUGGUUUGUGUGAAGCUGUAGGGACAAUGUAGCCUGCCUUAAAUGGUGAUGCAGAUAAAAAAUCUUCAGGAGCUAGUGUAAGUAAGACAUGGAAAGCGAAAGUUAAAGUAGCAAUGACGCUUCGUAGUACUAGUCAUAUUGGAAGGUAAUAGAUUCUACAUACUAAUCUAUUAGAGAAACCACAUUUCCAGCGAAGUAAAGCUACUUUCCUAAAUCUUAUGUAAUUUGUGCUAAUAUUUGAACUUGGUAACUCCUUUAUUUUCAGUAAUGAGGGCGCAACGUCUUCAUUAAAGAGGUAACAUAUAAGGUUAUAUGCUGAAGUUGUUAUAGCGAAUAAAGGAGAGAGGAGAAGUUAAAAAGCAAAUGCUUAACUUAGAUUUCAAUUGAAGUAAAUCUAGGUUAUAGAUAAAGACGUAAAGUUAACAUUAUUGAUAAAAAGUUUAAAGAGGAUAUAUAUUAAUAGAAAUGCGAUUAGUUAGAUUAACUUAAGCUACGGUAGAUACCUAGGACGAGAUCUAAUAGAGACAAUAAGCUACGAAGGAUACCUGGACGUGAUACUACCUUAAUUAAGGUUUGUCUCUAAGUUUUUUUAAUUAAUGGUUAGGUAUAUAAUUGUGUUGUUUGCUUAAUCUUAAGGUUUAUAAGGAAAAAAUUAUAAAAUAAAGAUGGUAAUUUUUGAAAAAGAAAUUAAAAGUAAAAACUCUAAUCCUGGUAUCAUAACAGUAGCAGAUUAUCCUAAAACAGGCGUCGUUCGCUCCGAAAAAACUAAAGAGAAAAAGUUAAUAUUAAAUCCGUGAUUUAUUACGGGACUUGUAGACGCAGAGGGUAGUUUUGUAGUGAAUAUUGUUAAAGAUUCAAGUAAGAGCUUAGGUUUUUUUGUUUUACCUUAUUUUGAGAUUGCGCUUAAUGAAAAAGAUCGAGAUCUUUUGACAGGGAUACAAGAUUAUUUAGGUAUUGGUAACAUAACUUUUAAUUCAUCUGACAAUACUUUUAAAUUAAAGGUGUCUGGUUUAGAUGGAUUGAGUAAUAUAGUUAUUCGACAUUUCCAGCAAUAUUAUUUACUAAGUAAAAACGUACCGAUUUUGCAAUUGUUUAGCCGUGUUGUAGGAAUAAUGAAAAGUGGAGAUCAUCUUAACCUUAAAGGUUUCCAGGAAAUAGUAAACAUAAGAGCUUCAUUAAACUUAGGUUUAAGUGAUAAACUAAAAGCUUAUUUUCCUGAGACCUUGCCUGUGGUUAGACCGGAAUUUAAUAUAAAAAGCAUUCCAGAUCCUUGAUGAUUAGCAGGAUUUACUGAAGGUGAGUCUUGUUUUUUUAUUCCCCUCCGGAGAGCAGUGCCUCCUCUGAAGGGGGCGCAAGCCAGAGUUUAUAAAUCGGUAAAGUCUAAACAAGGUUUUGCUGUGCAAUUAGCAUUUACAAUAACUCAACAUUCAAGGGAUAAAGAGUUAUUAAAUGUUAUAGCUCAAUUUUUGGAGUGUGGAAGAGUUGCGGAUCGUUCAAAUGGUGGUGCUUGUGAUUUCAUAGUGAAUUCCAUCAAGGACUUAAAAAAUAAAAUUAUACCUUUCUUUAAUAAAUAUCCUCUUUUGGGUACAAAAAGUUUAAACUAUCAAGAUUUUGUAAAAGUUUUUGAGUUAAUGGAUACAAAAAAACAUUUAACUCAAGAUGGUUUAGCUACCAUAAUAAAAAUUAAAUCGGGGAUGAAUACAGGAAGAAUUCAACUUGAUACUUAAUAAUAUUGAUGAGCUUGUGCCCUCAAUAAUAAAAUUUUACGUUUAUUAAGAUUAAAUUAUAGUAUUAAUCUUAAUAUAGCUGACUUAACAUGCGGCAUAAAUUGGCAAAGAAGGGUGAUAAGUAUGUUAGAAUAAACCUUUUUUUGCUUGGGGCGAGGGCUCCUGUAGAAAAUUUAUGUUUGAGCCGUAUGCGAUGAAAGUCGCACGUACGGUUCUUAGAGGGGGAAAGUUCGAGAGGACCUACCUAUCUCAACUGUUUAAUUCGAUGA